AUGCAAGAGAUAGUCUGUGGAUGUGCGGGGAAGCCAAUAGUUGAAAAUACUCGUUCUUGCCAGUGUGAAUGCGCUGCCCUCAUAAGAUUUUUGCUACCGGCAAGGGCCGUGUCAAGUGCAGACGCUCAGAUCUAUGCGGUGGAAGCCGCUCCAGAGGCCGCGAGUGGAGACAGGGGCGAAGCAUCCGAGCACUCCAUAGAGCAGAUUGACCCGAAGGCUCCUGGGGUGGAUGCGAAGGCCUGGCAUGUGUUGGGUCAUCACCACCACAGGGUUUUAGGAGCACAUCAGAACCAGUUCAGUCUGGUGAAGCAAGAGGCAAUGCAGCUAGGGCGGAUGACAUGCUGCCACUGA
rnacentral:rRNA from 1 species